AAAAAAAAUUGAGAAGGUAACUACGGACUUCAUUGGUCUAUUGUUAAUACAUAAUGAGACGAUACAGUGAAAGAACUCUCCAAAUGACAAAGCACUAUCUCCAUCUAAGAAUAUCGCUUCUGUUGCAUCAUAGUGAAGUAGUUCCACAGGUGUUUCUGCUCGGACUGACUGGUUCAAAUCUCGGCUGUACUGCCAGGAUUUAAGACACUUUGAAAAUGGGCAAAGCCUCAUUUUUCCUAGGUCAAAAGGAGUUCAAGAUUGGGGAAAUCUGAGGAUUCAGAAGGAUGAUAAAUGUUAGAACAUGGAAUCAGGGUGCUUAGAUUCUUGGUGCCUCAAUUUCUCUGUCAGUUAAAUGCCGUAUGAUCAAAUGACUCUUUUCUCAUUGGCUUGAUGUGAGAAAGAAAUGACUACAUAUAAUAAUCAGCAACAUUCCUGGCACAUAGUAAACAUCGAUGUAUUAUUAUUAAUACCUCCACCUACGCUAUAUACUGACUCUCUAUCCUCCCUCUCUUCCUCCUUCCCUGGAUCUUAAAAGAUGAGUGUGAUUAGAAACAAAAUUUUGUUGUGAUAAAGUCCACCUGAAUGUUCCCUCAGAUACUAACUAAAUCUCUUUCACAUGCAACCUUUGGACAAAAGUCUCUUCCUUUUUGCUAGGAAUUUUCCUAUUUUUCUCAUUUCUUCUCCUCCUGCUUUAGGAAAGAAAAAAAAAGCAUAUGCAAGAAUUAUUUUUUCUUCUCCCCAGAUGUCACCAGCACUAACACCUGUCCUAGUUCCAGCUCUGGUGAACUCCAGCAGACCUGCUCAAGUGGACAGCAUUAGGGACCUUGUCAGUUUUGCAGUGCUUUUUGCCUGAAGCCACCUCAGGUCCCUCAUGCUGCAGGUAUGCUGAGGGGCCUGGAGGUGACAGGCUGUUUUGCACCCAGGCACACUGAGGCCCGGGUGCUGCAGGGCUGUAAGGGUGGCCGUACUUUACUCUCUCCCAACUCCCCCACCCGUGUCAUUUUUAUUUGUACUUUAUAAAUCCUUUUCACUUUUGCAAGUUCCUUUUGGCCGCAAUCUGAAUGCAGUCCUGUAUGGGAUAAAGGAAUAUCAUAAGUAUAUAUUUUUUAAAACAGCAACACGAUUCAUGACUCUGUUGCAGAAUGUGAAGGAGCAAGUCUCUCAAUUGGCUAAUUGAAUCAAGCUCUGCAAUUUCCUUCUUCCCUGGAGCCUGAUCCUGCAGGACAAGGAUCUAUUUUCAAGUCAAUUACAAUUCCUAAGGGAUAUAAUUACCUACAAAAUCAGCAAAGGAACCCUAUUUCUCUUAUGGUGCAGAGCAAAACCAGUGUGGCUGGAAAGGAGAAAGAAGGAAAGGGGGCUUCAAGCAAGAUCAUGUGCAUUGUCAGACUUCAGAUCAUCCAAGGCCUUGUAAGAUUAGGGGACUUUUUUUUUUUUUUGCAUAAGUCAUAAAGAAAUCACUGUGGGGGAAUCAAACACUAAACAGGUAUGCAAGAUAAUUUCAGAUAAAGUAUAUGAAACAAAAAUGGGAUAGAGCAAGUUUAGAGGAGAUAAUGAUGAGGAAUGUCCUCUCUGAGGAGGUGACAUUUGAACGGAGACCUGAAUGGGACAAAAGGGCUAGUGGAGAAGAGAUCUGAAGAAAGAGCAUUUCAAGCAUUAGAGUAAAUAGGGCAAAAAUCAGGAAGCAGGACUGUGCUGUUUGUUUAAUACACAGAAAGAAAGAAAUGGUUAACUGGAAUUUGGACUCGGGACUUGAGUUCAAAUUCAAAGUUAUUUAUGCUGCCCCCAAAUGCGACUACCUAACUGAGCCUGCUGUUUGCUAAGGAUUAGGGGCUUUCUCUGUUUCACUAGAUGGUAAGUACCUGAGCAUAGGGACCAUGUCUUCCCACUUAUUUCUGCAAACUUAGUAUCUGGGCCCUGUCUAGUACCUGUUAGACUCUCAGUAAAUAUUCAUUGAAUGAAAACAUCUCUACAAUUACAAUACCCUGACUGUAUAUCUACUGUUAAAAUUCUAAGACUAGAAAAAAACAAUUUAAAUGUUGAAAUUCAGUCAGCCAAUUGGUAAUUUAAUAACCCAACUAAAAAAAAAAACCCAGAAGACAAAAUAGUCAAACCAUUUCUAAGAGUAGCUGCAGACUAAAUAACAAGAAAAGAAAAAAAUUAUCUAAAGCAACGCUUCUCAACGUCAGUGCUAUUAGCAUUUGGGGCUGAAUAAUUCUUGGUCAUGGGAGCUGUCCUGAGCAUUAUUUAGUGGCAUCGUUAGUCGCUACUCAAUAGUUACUGGUAGCAUUCCCCUCUUGCGACAACCCAAAAUGUCUGCAGACAUUGCCAGAUGGCCCUAUUGAGAACACUGGUAUGAAAGUAUUAAUGCCAUGCCACUUUCUAAAAUGUUGCAGAAGUUGUUGUGCCACCCAGUGGGUUUUCAGUUGAUUUGUGUGCAAAGUUUUACCAAGAGGUAUGAUAAAUAUGUCC
rnacentral:lncRNA from 1 species